AUCGAAUCAGUCAUCACAUGAUUGAUCUAAUUGGCAUAGGCUAAACCAAAAUGCCUUGACAACUAUUGAAUCCAAUCAUUCAAUUGAUCAGGUAAGUGAGAUCAGUGGAAGGAUGUGCCAUUAAUUCGUCGUAGGCUAAAUUAUCUACGUUAGUAGCCUCCAAAUUAAAAACCAUCGAUCGAGACUUGUUUUAGAUACCAAAUGACUUAUUAGUUUCAAUUAGUCAACUUAGAUGAAUCGAAUUC
rnacentral:lncRNA from 1 species